rnacentral:rRNA from 1 species
CUCCAGACUCCUACGGGAGGCAGCAGUAGGGAAUAUUGCACAAUGGGGGAAACCCUGAUGCAGCAACGCCGCGUGGGUGAAGGAGCGUUUCGGCGCGUAAAGCCCUGUCAGCGGGGAAGAAGAAAGACGGUACCCGACCAAGAAGCCCCGGCUAACUACGUGCCAGCAGCCGCGGUAAUACGUAGGGGGCAAGCGUUAUCCGGAUUCACUGGGUGUAAAGGGAGCGUAGACGGCGAGACAAGUCUGGAGUGAAAGGCCGGGGCCCAACCCCGGGACUGCUCUGGAAACUGCCUGGCUGGAGUACAGGAGAGGUAAGUGGAAUUCCUAGUGUAGCGGUGAAAUGCGUAGAUAUUAGGAGGAACACCAGUGGCGAAGGCGGCUUACUGGACUGUAACUGACGUUGAGGCGCGAAAGCGUGGGGAGCAAACAGGAUUAGAUACCCGUGUAAG